AUCCAGUUGAUGAGUUCCAAAUAGGAUGAAACGCGGGUCCUGGAU
rnacentral:hammerhead_ribozyme from 1 species